UAAUACGUAGGUGGCGAGCGUUGUCCGGAUUUACUGGGCGUAAAGGGCGUGCAGGCGGUCUGCUAAGUCUAGGGUGAAAGCUCCCGGCUCAACUGGGAGAGGUCCUUGGAUACUGACAGACUUGAGGGAGGCAGAGGAGAAUGGAAUUCCCGGUGUAGUGGUGAUAUGCGUAGAUAUCGGGAGGAACACCAGUGGCGAAGGCGGUUCUCUGGGCCUUACCUGACGCUGAGACGCGAAAGCGUGGGGAGCGAACCGGAUUAGAUACCCGGGUAGUCCACGCCGUAAACUAUGAACACUAGGUGUGGGGGGUAUCGACCCCCUCCGUGCCGAAGCUAACGCAGUAAGUGUUCCGCCUGGGGAGUACGGCCGCAAGGCUA
rnacentral:rRNA from 1 species